GGAUCCGUAGUUUAAUGGUUAGAAUCUUCGGCUCCAGCCCGGAAGAUGGGGGUUCGAUUCCCUCCGGGUCCA
rnacentral:tRNA from 1 species